GCAACAGCUAACUGAGCACAUGGUGCCCUUGAGGCCAUCAUGGGAGCCCAGAGGAACCCAGGCUGAAAGAGGAGAGUGGGGGCAGCACUAGAAAAGGCCAGAGGGACACGUCAGCCCAUGGAGAAAAAGUAGCAUGUUGAUUUUAUUACCCUCUCCCUUCCUUUCUUCUAAAAAACCGAAUGUAUUAUUCAGGCCCAUGGCCUAUUUACAGACCUACCCUGGAGUUGUUAGGAGAGUUGAAGGAGAUAAUGGAAUGAAAGUGCUGUGAAAACGUGAUAGACUCUACAAAUGUUAGUCCUUAUUAUCACUUUAUUAUCAGGCUUGCAUUCCUGACACCUGGGUUUUAUAGAGGCUGAUAAAAUGACAGCACUGGAAGGGAUCUCGCAGGUCACCCAGACCAUCCGCUACCUCUCAGCCAGGGUUGGGUGGGGUGAGAACAGAGUUUUGGAGGGGGAUCCUCUUUAAGAAAAAGAACGUAAAGCUACAAGCGACAUUAAUACAGAAAUGAAGAUUUAUUCAGAAUGAGAAAUCACAGCAAAUUAUACAUUUCAAAAAGCUGAAAGUUGACAACAUAGACAUCACAAAAACCCAGAAAAGAAUAAAAAUAUAUUUUAUAAACUAUUAUUGAUCCUCUGCUGCCACUCAUCUACAAUGUUUUCAUCUUGCAUGUUUUGGCUAUAUGUUCUCUGAUUUCUUCAUAGGACAAUAAUUUUGUAUUAUCAUUUUCUAUAGGGAGAAAAAAGGUAAUUCUAUCUUUCCUGUAAACAUGGUUGGCCCUAGUUUGGUUGGCCCUCGGUAGUUUGAAAACGUGCAUCUGUUGGCUUCUUUGCUUGGCAUUGGUAAUGUCACACCUCAGCCAUUCUCUGUUCAGCUAUGUGAGCUCCUGAUCAGCCUCCCAGGCCUUUGUCCCUCAAUUCCCCCUCAGCUGCGUCAGCUCAGUCACAGCCUUGCCCACAUGGGCACUUGCCCCUCACCUGCCUCUGCUGCUCCAGUCCUGGGGUAGGGGACAGAGUGGCUAUGGGACCUGGUCGUGAUGACCUCUGAGUGGGAUGCUGAGCAGGGUCUUAUUGGCUCUUUCCUCCUGGAGUUGAAGCGUGUGGAGCCUUGGUGAGUGAGUCCCCCAGAAACACGUGGGAGCCCUGCCAUUGAAGGUGGGCUAGCACCUGUAGUCCUAGGACCCUGCUGGGGAGUGGUGUGUGACAUUUGCUGGGGCAAUGUGCCCUACUGGGGCCACUGUGGCCUCCCAGCCAGCCCUCAAGUAUAAUGCAUUGAGGCACAGAAAGGCCAGUUUUGGGUGUGGGGCCAUGAGGUGCGGGCUCUGGUGGCCUCAUGGUCAGUCCCCCUCUGGUCCUGGGUUAGCAUUUCCCAGAGGGGCCUGGGAUGCCCUGUGAGAAGAGGCUCCCUAGUUGUCUUAGUUCAGGCUACAAAGUACCAUAGACUGGGUGGCUUAUAAACAACAGUCAUUGAUUUCUCACAGCUCUGGUGGCUGGAACUCCAAGCUGGAGUGCCAGCACCACUGAUUUCUGGUGAGGGCUCUCUUCUGGGCUGCAGACAGCUGACUUCUAUCCUUGCAUGGUGGAAAGAGAGCAAAGGAGCGCUCUGUUCUCUUCUUAAAAGUUUACAGCUCACCACUUCCAGCCUGGGAACUCCGUGCUAAUUGAGACUUGGAAAGAAGACAAGCUCCAGCCAUGCUGGGAAGUUUCCUGUCAAGGGCUCCUGAUCACUAAGACAGAUGUACGAACAGCUGAAUGGGGUAAACACAUGUGCAUUCAUCUCAGAGAGUUAAACCUUUCUUUUGAUUCAGCAGUUUGGAAACACUGUUUAUCAAAAAACUGAAAAAAGAACCCCUGGAAGGAAGGGAAAAGGGUAGAUGGGAAGUGUAUAAAUCACCUAAGGAACCUUUAAAGCUAACUCUAAGGAAAACCUAGAAGGAAGCUAUAAGCAGGCGCCAUCAUUGGGGGCGAAUAUAUUUACACGAGAGGUAAAAGGAGACCUAAAUAUUAAAUAGGGCCCAGUACUAGGGGUGAAAAAUAGGGAAUAUCCAGUCAAACUAAUAGUCAACAUAACUAGAACCUCCACCUCCCAGACCAGACUAUAAAGUUCAAUGCCUGCCAAGUCUUACAUUGUGGGAAUUUAGAAAACCAAAGGCAGCCGUUGCAAGCAAACCAAUAUCUGUGUCCUGAAACAGGUCGCUGUUAGGGAAAGCCCUGUGCUACUGGAAUGAGGUCUGAUGGACCACCCAGUGUCAAGGCUGGGUGAGUCAUUCUUCCAAAAACAAACCCUUAAAAAAUAAAAUACAUUUGUAUAAGGGCCCUACACCACCUAACUGUAGAAAUUUAAAAUGCAAUCUUAUAUUAAUUACCAUAAACAACCCGGCUACUCUAGACCAGGAACCUUGGAGGUAUGGAUUAGGAAUAAAUAUCUCAGGAAGGGAUCCCGCGGGACGGUUAGCUUUUAGGCUAGUCACCAACUCCACUCCGAGCCCACCCAGGGUUACUGUAACUCCCCAUCCCACUACUUCCUUUAACCCACCAAACAAUAACCCUAAAAAAGUAAAAAUAAUUAAGGUGACUAACUUAAGGCAAACUUUAGAAAUUAAGACUGGCUAUGGGGAUGUAAAUGCCUGGGUUGAAUGGGUCAAAUUUUCGGUACUAGCUCUUAAUAAAAGUGACUGUUUUGCAUGCUCUGCUGGGCAGCCUCAGGCACGGGUAGUUCCGUUUCCCCUAGGAAGGGAUACCAGUCCCAAAGGAAUGCGUUGUAUGUUGGCUCCAUACCAGGACAGGGAUGCAUGGGGAAAUAAGAUCUACAAAAGUCUAUUAUUGCUCUUUCCUGCAUUGCGGAGGUCAGAUCCUAAAGCAAUCCCCUCGUUCUCCAUAGGAAAUAUAAACCACUCCUCUUGUCUCUCUAGGCAGGGGGCAGAGUUCAACUCUCAACUUGUACCCACAUCUUAAAUGUUACUGGUAAGUCAAACAAAGGCAACUACUUGCCUCUUCAUAUACCCCCGGCUAAUGUCUAGUGGUAUUGUGGGAAAAGGAACCUCUGCAACUUGUUACUGCCCAAUUGAACCGGGACUUGUGCCUUAGUUUAACUGGCCAUUCCAUUCGCUUUGGCAAAUUCCAUAAAAUCCCCGAAAAUCCACAUGGCCACCAAAGUUGGAGAGAUCUAAGAAAUUCCUUUAAUCCCAACAUUUAUGUUAACUCAAUAGGAGCCACUAAAGGAGUACUUAAUGAAUUUAAGGACUAAAGGACACAAAAAUAAAUGUGAAAAUGGGACCAGUAGGGGUAAAAAGAAAAAGAGGAGGGAAUUGAAGGAAGUAAUGUAUACAGCCGUCCAUUUCCAAGACAAAGUGCCUUAAAUCAUCUUAGGGCAGCAAACUACAAAAGAAACUGAAAAUACUAGGUCCCUGCUUGAAUAGCCAAUGCCUGCUUGUCAGCCUCCCCUUCCCCCCACCACCCCACUUAGUUGCCCUCACCGGAACCAAAAAAGUUUAGUCUAAAAUAAAAGUUUACUAGUCUGCAAAAUAGCUCGCUUUGUCUUUUCUUAUCAGUCUGUCCAGCUACUUAGGUCAUAAGUCAAAUACUUGAAGAGCUCAUGAGCUAACUAGGAUUGCUAUGCAUUGUGGGCUGCAACAAAAUGCAGCAAGACAACCCUAAAGAAAACACCUAAAGCCCCUGCCUAACAAUCAAUAGCGACGUCCGUCUGGGAAAAUUGUAACCCUGUAGUACUCAACCUAUGAAGAAUGGCAGGGAAGGACCUGCACACUAGGGGAUAAAUUGCUUGUUAAAACUGUGCUGGGUGUGCCUGUGUGUCAAACACCCAAUCUUGCAAAACUGUCGUUACAAGUCUCACUUUGCUGUCCUGUGGGUCUCUAAGUCCAUUCUUUGAGUUUGAACAGUUAAGUUUGUUUCUCAUAGUUUGAAUGCUUAUUUUUGUACUAAAUGUUGUAUUAGGUAUCUUAUGUUUGCUGUCUUAUUUAAUUCUCACAAUAAACCUACAAAGCAGUGGUAUUCUUUCCAUUUCAUGGAUGAAGAAACUGAGGUUCACGGAGGCUCAGUAACUAAUGCAAGCCAAAUGGGUAGUGGAUGAUGGAGUGGGCUGUGAAUUCAGGUUUUCUUGUAUCACUUGACCACAGGCUAAAUGACAAGGGCUACUCUGGGGCCAAUGACAGCUCCUAAGACCCAGAACACAUGCAUGCCUGUCAGGGCAGAGAAAUUGAGUCUGUUUGGAAGCCAACUUAAGCCUUAGGAAUAUAGCCUUUAGAGCAAACGGUUUUAACCCAGGUCAGCAGAUGGAAUUCAUGGGAUCUAUGAACUUGGACAAGAAACACUUCCGCGUCAUUUUCACUAACUUUUCACUGAAUUUAGCACCUCUCUCACCUAUCACGUAGGCAAUAAAUCAGUGUUGGCCAGACCUGUAACUCUGUCAUUAAAAGAAACUACAGAUAUUUGCAUUUCACGUUACAGUGUUUACCAAUAUCUCAAAAUAUUGCUUAUGCAAUUUGUCAUGACUUUGCAUUUAUAGUAAUUAGACCUGCAGCAGACCUUGUUGUUUGUUACUCACAGAAUAUAUAUAUAUAUAUAUAUAUAAUUAUGUUAUGAAUUAGUUUUCAAAAGUGUUUUGAUAACUGUGGUUUAAUAUAAUUUAUUGGUCUUAUUUUGUGCACUUAAAAAUAUUCUUCUGGAAAAGCCUCCAUAUGCCCCACCAGACUGUCAGAGGACUCCAGAUACAGAACGGUCUCGAUGCCCUGACUCAGCAAGAGUGACUGAGUCAAAUCCUGACUGUCUCAUAUACCAGCUGGAGGACAUUAAGUUCUGUAGCCUGGUGGGAUGUCUCUCCUAAAUCAGGGUUUCUCAGCCUUGGCCCUGUUGAUGUUAGGGCUGCAUAAUUCUUUGCUGGGGAUGGUAUGGGGGUGAAUGGGGGCUAGCUCGUGCACUGUGGGAUGUGUGACAUUCCUGGCCUUGACCCACAAGAUGCAAUAGUACCCCACCCCCCAGUAUAUUCCUGGCCUUGACCCACAAGAUGCAAUAGUACCUCACCCCCCGGUUGUGACAACCCAAAAUGCCUCCUCUAGACAUUGUCUCAUGCCCCUGUGGGCAAGAUGGCCCAGUUGAGAACUGCUGUGCUAGAUGUGCAAUGUGAUAUUAGAGGAUUCUUGGGAGUACACUGCGAUCAUGCCUCAAUGCCUGAGUGCUCCAUGUGGCGCUCUAUCCUGUUUUUGUUAGGACACCAGAUUUCAGUAAGUUCAGGGUCAAGAGGGACUGGUCUCUCAGCCUGAGGGUCCACAAGGAAGUCCCUCUGGAGGGUUGGCAGCCUGCACUGGGGUGAUUCCAACUGGGAGUCCAGGGGAGCCCAGUCCUGGCGAGCUGAUGAUGGGAUGGAGAAGAACAGUGACUCAUGGGUGCCUACGGGUGCCCCGGACCUGAAAGAUAGACAGCAGGGGCUAACCCCAGAUAGGCAGGAGUGUAGAAAAUGCCUUCUCCAACCUCAGGGGAUUCUUGGUUCUUUUAAAGCCAGAAGAAUGAGGAUGGCAGGGCCACAAGCUGCCCUAAAGGAUGAUGCAGUGCUGCAGGAGAUUAAGAGGAAGGGGGCAUUUUUAAAUUCUUUUGGAGUACUGAAGGGGAAAUAACAGAAUGGUGAGAGAAGCUACUGGUUUUGAGUGUUGACACCAUGCCAGGUGCUGUUCUAAGCAGCCUAUGUCAACAUGGUACUUAAUUCUUACAGCUAACUAGGAGGUAGAUGCUGUCAAUGUCCUCAUUUGGCAAGGCUCUGAGGCUUAAAUGUCCACUGUCUUGCCUGACUUUCCUUCUGUAAAUGACAGAACUGAAAUGUAAGCCCAGAUGUGUCUAAUUUCAGUGCCCAUGAGUUAAAUCAAUAGGUAGCACUGCCCAAAUGCCAUUCCAGAUACCCAGAAAACCCAAAGCUGAUACUGCUAAACAAAGGUUAGGGGCCCGUGAGAAACUACAGAGGUCAGAGCACUCCUAAGAGACUGAAGGGGCUCAUCUGGGACAGUGUUUGACAAAAAUGCAGGAGAAGGCGGGCCUUCUGUGGACCUCCUGUGACCUAUGGACUUGGGAAUUCCUUGCCUUGUGAAUUCCAUGCCGAUGUUAGACAAGCAUCUGGAUCAAUUACUAAACCUACGUCUCGUCAGCCCUUAGAUGCCAAAUGUGUGGUUGAUAAGAAUCAUUGUCAUUUUUUGACUUUUUAAUAAUAGCCAUUCUGACUGGUAUGAGAUUGGGUAUUUUUAUUCUAAAUAAAUAUUCUUUUUUAUAACAACAACAAACAAAUCACUGUAAGAUCAUAAGUUAACAAAGAACAAAUCAUGCCAGACAAACUUCGUUCUUCUUUAUGGCUCUGCUCUCCUGAUGGCUUGGUGGGAGGUGGGGGUGGAGGGGAAUCUGCAGAUGGCUUUCCAUAGAGCAUCUGCUCCCAGCUCUCAUGAAAUCCGUGAGGACAGAUUUGGAAACAUGAGCUAGACAAUACCAGGGCAGGCUGCUUUCUGGUGGGUUAAAGACCUGUGCUCCAAGGGAACUGAUUAGCCAAUAUGGGCUUAGAGGAAUUCUCAGUGGCAAACUGGAGAUGAUUCAACAAUCAGAAUGAAAAAUGUCACCGUGACAUACUUGUGGAGAAAAGCAAACAGCACCAAGCAAGUAGAUUUUCACUAUAUCUGAGAUACCAGGGAGGGGAGCCAGUAUUACAAAAUUGCCUGGAUUUAAUGAUGAUGAUAAUAGGUAACACCUUUAAGUAUGUACUCUGUCCCCAGGUGUGGUUCUAAGCAUUUUACAUAAAUUAGUUCCUUUAGCACCUCCCAACAACCCUACAAAGUAGGUUAUAUUAUUUUCCACAUUUUACAGUUGAGGAAACUGAGGCGGAGAAUGAUUUCAUAGUUACCAGAUGCCUGAGAUUUAGAGUCCCAUUUAGCUCUGAGAUUGUAUUGGAAGGUGGGGAAAGAGUGGCUUGUAUGUGCACAAAAAGAAGAUAAUCACGGUGUGCCAAGGGGCUUAGCUGUCCCUUUCUCUGGGAGAUUUUUCUCUACCUCCCAAGUGGGGCUAGCGGCCUCUCCUAUGCACUCACAAGGCAUCCGGUACAUGGCGCUGUCCCUGCCCCUCCCCGAGGUUUAUAAUUUCCUAUGUGCAUGUUUGCCUCCCCUCUAGAUUCAUUUCAUCCCUUUAGGACCCUCAGCUUUGAGCACAGUGGCAACGCUGGGGUUUCCAGAAGUGUUGGUAAGGGGAUUGAAAUGAAUGUAAAGAUUGUAAAGUCUGAAGAAGAGACAGAAGGCCCUGGGGCCAGGGGGCAUGCAUGUGUGACAAAAUCUCAACCAAAGGCCACAGGGGAUGAGAAGAUAGAAGGAAGAAGUUGUCAUCCCCUGGAGCAUGGUAUUGAGGGAACCUGUGGGAUGGUCUUUCCCCAAGGCCUCGAUGGCCUCGCGGGGAGAGACCAUGGUAUAGACUCACUGGCCUCUCAUAAGCUUCUCCAGCUCCACAAGCCAAGAAGCCUAUGAAGUCUGUGGAGUUUCAAGUGCUGCACACUGGGCUGCUCACCUUUUCCUUUUAGAGUAAAGAGAUCAAGAAGACAUGGAGGAAAUGUAAAGAUAUAUUGGAAAGUACGUGGUAUAUAAUAUUAACUAAAGUCAAUAGUUUACAUUAGGCUUGGCUCUUGACUUCAGUUAAUAUUAUAUACCACAUAUUGAUUAAUCAGUUGUAACAGUUGUACCACACUAGUGCAAGAUGUUAAAAUAAAAAAAGGUGUGUGUGUGUGUGUGAGAGAGAGAGAGAGAGAGAGAAACAGAAAGACAGAAACAGAUGAGGUGUAUGGGAACUCUUUUUUUAGCAAUUUUUCCAUAACCUAAAAUUGUUCUAAAAAGUAAAAUCUAUUAAAACAAUACAGAGAUCUCUGUGAUCGCACCUAGAACAUACCCGGGAAAUACUGCUGAUGCACUCAUGUGCACUCACAGGAAUCACAGAACUAUACAGAGAUGGGCGCCCUCCUCAUUCCUUGGGGUAGACAGAUAUAGAAACAGGCUCAGCCAACAUCAGAUGUAACUUGCUCACUUUCUUUCCACUUCCCUUCAAUAAAUAUGCAGUAGGUGAACAUGCUUCAUAGAAUGGGAAAUGCUACACAAUUAUUAAAAACGUGUGGGCUAAAUCAAUCUAAGAGAUUGAAGAGAGCUGCUUCAAGUCAUUAUACUCAAGUGGACUCUGGGAGGGGUAGCCUUAGCAUCUGCUCCUUCUGGCCAAGGGCCAAAUGGAUUGGGGUCCCGAGCACAUCCACAGGAGGCCAGAAUGGCUGUAACUGGUGUCUCUUGUCCUGAUUAGAGGGUGAGGGCGGCUUCAGAGUUUCUAGAGUGUGGCCCCCGUCCUAAGGGGGCAUUGGGAUGGGGCUGCUCCUGAGCUGGGAGAAGGAGCUGGGAUGAGUGUCAGGCAGUUGCUGAGGGGUGGAGGAGAAGGAGCGAGCAGUUGCUAAGAGAGCUGGCAGGAGUGGAGCUGGGUGAUGUUUGACUCUGGAUUAAAAAAAUUUUUUAAGCAAGCAAAGAGAAUUUCCACUCUGCCAGAGCUAGGAGACCUUUGAGACCAUCUCUUCCAUCUUCUCACUCUAUAGCUGAGGAAACAGGGCCUGGAGGGAUCCCCCAGAGACCCAGUGGCAGUCCCACACUAGGCUGGGCUGUCCCUGACUCCUAGGCUCAUGCUUUGCAAAAUUGAAUGGGCCUGCAAAACAGCUCUCAAGCCUGAGCACUUCUCCCAUCUCACCCAAGUAACUCCUCUGCCUUGAGCCUUUUAACGGCUUCUCAUUCUGAGAGGAACCACUUACCUCCCCUACCAUGGUAUCUCAGGCCUUGACAGGCUGUCCUUCUCAUCUCUC
rnacentral:lncRNA from 1 species